AUUGAACGCUGGCGGCAGGCCUAACACAUGCAAGUCGAGCGGAUGAAGAGAGCUUGCUCUCUGAUUUAGCGGCGGACGGGUGAGUAAUGCCUAGGAAUCUGCCUGGUAGUGGGGGAUAACGUUCCGAAAGGAACGCUAAUACCGCGUACGUCCUACGGGAGAAAGCAGGGGACCUUCGGGCCUUGCGCUAUCAGAUGAGCCUAGGUCGGAUUAGCUAGUUGGUGAGGUAAUGGCUCACCAAGGCGACGAUCCGUAACUGGUCUGAGAGGAUGAUCAGUCACACUGGAACUGAGACACGGUCCAGACUCCUACGGGAGGCAGCAGUGGGGAAUAUUGGACAAUGGGCGAAAGCCUGAUCCAGCCAUGCCGCGUGUGUGAAGAAGGUCUUCGGAUUGUAAAGCACUUUAAGUUGGGAGGAAGGGCAGUAAGUUAAUACCUUGCUGUUUUGGCGUUACCGACAGAAUAAGCACCGGCUAACUUCGUGCCAGCAGCCGCCGUAAUAC
rnacentral:rRNA from 1 species